ensembl:lncRNA
AAGAGAGGACCCUUCUCCGGGAAAAGAGAGAGUGCCAGCGCAACUAAGUCCCACCCAAACAGGCUACACCUAUUACCUCCCCCUGGACGUAAAACGGGGGUAGAUACAUCACACAAACUUAGUAUUGUUCGCCCAAGACUAUGGACAAGUUUCUCCAGCAAUUUCAUUGAAUAUAACACAUUUUGGAAACAAUGCGACCUGGAAGUGGAAUAGUUAUUGCUGCCUUGUUCAGCCUGGGCUGCAGCAUGACACUGACAGCGGACAAGAAAGGACAAUGAUCCAAAACACACUUCCAGGCUGUGUAAGGAGAGUGAUGGAGUGCUGCAUCAGAUGAACUGGCCUCCACAAUCACCCGACCUCAACCCAAUUGAGAUGGUUUGGGAUGAGUUGGACCGCAGAGUGAAGAAAAAGCAUCCAAAAAGUGCUCAACGUGUGGGAACUCCUUCAAAACUAUUGGAAAAGCAUUCCUCAUGAAGCUGGUUGAGAGAUUGCUAAGAGUGUACAAAGCUGUCAUCAAGGCAUAGGGUGGCUACUUUGAAGAACGUAAAAUAUAAAAUAUAUUUUGAUUUGUUUAACACUUUUUUUGGUUACUACAUGAUUCCAUAUGUGUUUUUCAUAGUUUUGAUGUCUUCACUAUAAUUCUACAAUGUAGAAAAUAGUAAAAAAUAAAGGAAAAAAAACUUGAAUGAGUAGGUGUGUCCAAACUUUUGACUGGUACUGUAUACACUUUUACAGUAUUUUGUGUAGAUCAAUGACCAAAAAUUACAAUUAAAUAUAUUUCAAUCCCACUUUUUAACGCACCAAAUGUUAAAACAGUUCAAGGGGGUGUAGAUAUUCUGUAGGCACUGUAUGUGAUGGGUCCCAUAGCACUUGGACAGAAGGAAACUUGCUCACUCUCGAAACUAUUCUAGUGUCUAAUUUGGCCUUUCAGAGUCAUCCAGCUGUACCCUGUAACAUAUCAUAUUUGGAAAUUGAAUAUAAACUUUAGUUCUAUAUUUCCAGCUAAGACAAAUGAACUGCAAUGCCUCAUACAGCAAACAUUGAACUUGCAAUGUCAGCUAAAUAAACUCAUACGGUGGGUGUACAGAAGAAAUAAAACGAUUGAGAUUGCAAAAUCUCUCUCACAUAGACCCCACCCAGUACAACACACACAGGAACUUCUUCCUAUGCAGUCUGGCAUGGCCUUGCAGUGGAGGCUUUCCAAGUCAAACAAUCAACUAAAACCUGUUCUUCAGAAACAAAGCAGGAGGAUCAUAGAGAGCUAAACCAGAGAGGAUAGCACGCUUUACAUCACUGGAAUCCAAGAAGUCAUAUUAGCAGUCUAAUUUAUCUUCUCAUUCCCCAUCUCUUUCACUUAAGGUUUUUAACUAAUUACUCUAAUAGUCUACUGUGAACUACAGUCAUUGAAAAAAUAGCCCUUGCACACCUACUUUGUGUAUGUUUGAAAAAGAAGAAAACAGCAUACUGGUGUUCUUGAAUACUUCACAAUUUGAUUCAAAUAUGAGCAUAUAAGAUCACCAGUGUGCUACGAGCAGCAGCAGAGUGCAGGGGACAGUUUUUGAGGAAGGGGGGAUGAGUUCAACACACUGGUGUGAUUGAAGGAGUGGGAAGGGAGGAAGAGUUCAGUGGUGUAAACUACUUAAGUACAAAUACUUUACAGUACUACUUACAGUGCCUUGCGAAAGUAUUCGGCCCCCUUGAACUUUGCGACCUGAUAGACUGAUAGAGACAUAGAGACAUAGAGACAACUGAUAGAGACAUACCCCAAGCAACUUACAGCUGUAAUCGCAGCAAAAGGUGGCGCUACAAAGUAUUAACUUAAGGGGGCUGAAUCAUUUUGCACGCCCAAUUUUUCCGUUUUUGAUUUGUUAAAAAAGUUUGAAAUAUCCAAUAAAUGUCGUUCCACUUCAUGAUUGUGUCCCACUUGUUGUUGAUUCUUCACAAAAAAAUACAGUAUUAUAUCUUUAUGUUUGAAGCCUGAAAUGUGGCAAAAGGUCGCAAAGUUCAAGGGGGCCAAAUACUUUCGCAAGGCACUGUAAGUAGUUUUUUGGGGGUGUCUGUACUUUACAUGACUAUUUAUAUUUUACUUCACUACAUUCCUAAUGAAGAUAAUGUACUUUUUACUCCAUACAUUUUCCCUGACACCCAAAAGUACUCGUUACAUUUUGAAUGCUUAACAGGACAGGAAAUGGUCCAAUUCACACACUUAUCAAGAGAACAUCCCUGUCAUCUCUACUACCUCUGGUGGACUCAUUAAACACAAAUGCUUUGGGGAAUGGAUAGUAGGGGAACGGGUACUGGAACAGUAAGGGAAUGGAUACUGGAACAGUAGGGGAGGGAUACUGGAACAGUAGGGGAAUGGAUACUGGAACAGUAGGGGGAGGGAUAUUGGAACAGGAGGGGUGAGGGAUACUGGAACAGUAGGGGGAGG